AAAGCUAAGUGAGUGAAUGGAAUUAGAUAGCCCAAUAGUCCUAGCUAUAAAUGAUGGAUACCGGGCGUUGUGCAUAUCGACCCAUGCAAUGCUGUAGCUAACGCAUUAAAUAUCC
rnacentral:ncRNA from 1 species